CUUCUAUUUUUUUUCAUGGCUGCACCUGCAGCAUACGAAAGUUCCCAGGCUAGGGAUCGAAUCAGAGCUGCAGCUGCCAGUCUAUGUCACAGCCACAGCAACGCCAGAUCCGAACCACAUCUGCGACCUACACCACAGCUCACGGCAAUGUCAGAUCUUUAACCCACUGAGUGAGGCCAGGGAUCGAACCUGCGUCCUACAGGGAACCACUGCCUGCAAUUCCCCUCUGCACACGCAGGCUUCGGGGGGGGGGGGGCCCCCCCCCCCCCCCGCCCCGCAUCUACUCAACAGCUCUGCCUGUUCUCCAUCAGCCGGCGCAGAGGCACGGCAGCCAAGGCAUGAGUUCUAGAGCCUAGAUCCCGGCUCCGCCAGCUCCCAGCCAUGAGACUUGAGGCAGAAGUGGCGACAGCUCCCUGGGCCUCCCUUUUCCCAUCUGCAAAGUGGGAACAAUCAGAGAACCGGGAAGCAGAGAGGACUCAAAACACCCACGCCGGGUGCCGAGACCACAUGGGCACCAGGCCAGCCCUUGAGGAUGGCGGCCUGCGCUGUCCUGGGGCUCCCCGACCUGUGACCUUGAGCUGGCCAUGGGCUGUGACCUUGAGCUGGCCGUGGGCUGCGUCCCUGUGCUAAUCCCCGUAACCUGCCCCUGGGAGCUGAUUCAGAGCCUGGGUCUCCGCAGCUGUGACGAAGUUGUAUGUACACUAAGAACCAGAGGAGUCACCCGCCACACCACACCGUGCCCACAGGGGAGAGGCCAGGUGACAUCAGCAGUUCCUUCACUGUGGCCACGGGAGAAAAAUACAUUUGAGUCAGAGAUCCUGACUGAAAGCGACACCCAGAUGCCUUCCAGGGAACGUGGUAUUGGCUCCAGCCUGAAGAAUCCACGCAACGACCUCAUUUGUUCGGUUCGUCCAUAACCCCACUGGGGUGACAGUGGCCCAUUUUACAGGUGGGGAAACGGAGGCCCCAAGGUCUCUGGCUCAGGUCACACAGCUUCUGCAACGCACACCUGGGGACUCCUGAGUCCCUGUUGCAGCACAUUUCUGGGUGUCACCGUAGGAGGCAGAGGAAGAAGCUUUAAUGCCAGACCCAAGCGUGCUGCCUACAGCCCAGGCGGGUCCCCAGAGGGCAGUGCUAAGUGGCAGCUUUGCAGGACUAGAAAAGCUCAGACACAAAGGUGGUGUGAAACACUCCGCCGCAACGGCCACCCUGAACCCCCAAGCCACCCAGGUGACAGCCGGCGGGUUAGGGAUGUUUUUCAGCCAGGCUGUCCUGGUCCUGAGUCUCCUGGCGACAGCUCCCUUUGCUGGGCCUCGGGGGCUCCCUUUGCUCACACACACUCCAGGGAACCCGGCCUGGAGUUAGAGGUUCUGAAUCUUUCAGACACUCUGUUGCUGCUGUUCGCCUCUGACUGCAAAGUCCCCUCUCUCCUUCGAAGAGUCGUUUUCUCCCCAAUUCCAUCGCUGCCCUCAACCUACAGAAAUCACCCAGCCCUCCAUCAGCUAUGGGGCAGACACCCCCCAGGGCCCGGCCUUGCCACCCCGGCUGCCUCCCCGGGGCCCGUCAGUUGUCUCUCGGGCAUAGGAACGGUCCCCCCUUUGGCAGCGUCUCACAGUAUUUAUUGUUCUGCUCUGGGUGCAGUCUGGUCCUGGCGGCACCCCGGCGUCAGCGACGCAAACACCAUCACUCAUGCGGCAUAAACCUGUUGUGGCAAUUCCCCGCCUGGGCCCGCGAGAGGCGCCCAUCACUCUUCCCCGACGGCACUCCAAGGCGCGGGGUGGCGGGAGAUGGAUGGUUCUGGGAAUUACCGCCGGCUGCAAAGUGGGGACCUUUCACCUCUGGGGAGAGGGGUCAAGUCACAGCCAUCGCGGGCCCGGGCCCCAGGGAAAUGAAGCAGGAGACCCCUGCUCGGGGCACGGCCCUGACGCCCCCCACUACAAGCAUCUGGUCGUACUGCACGCCGGGGGAGCCCAGUCUGGCCUCCAGAACGAUCGAUUCACUGGGGCCGCCUGACAGAGCUCCAGGCAGGUGCUGUCUGUGGCUUUUGACAAAUGAGGAAUCGGAGACUGGGGGACACAAGACGAAUUGCCCCUGGUCUCCAGAUUUUCCUGUGUCCUUUCCGAGGGGCAAGCUGCCCCCUCAGAUCACAAACUCAGCUUCCCCCUCCCCCAGCCUCCCGGAGGCUAGGAUUAGGUCUUAAGAAGUUCCCGUUGUAGGAGUUCCCGCUGUGGCUCAGAGGCAAAGAAGCCGAUUAGUAUCCAUGAGGAUGCAGCUUCGAUCUCUGGCCUCGCUCAGUGGGUUAAGGAGCCGGUGUUGCCAUGAGCUGCGGUGUAGGUUCAGAUCCGGCGGUGCUGUGGCUGUGGUGUAGGCUGGCAGCUCUGAUUCGAUGCCUAGCCUGGGAACCUCACAUGCCAUGGCCCUAAAAAGGGAAAAAAAAUCAAUUUAAGACCCUUUACACCAGUGCAAAGAUUUCAGCGCGCGUUCUCCUUGGAAUCUGGAAACGCCGGGUCUUUGGUCAGCUGUCGGAGAGAAAAGGGUUCAGAAGCCCUGAGGGUCUGAGCAGCCUGCCGGGGUCCUGUGGCCUGGCCUAGGACCGGGGCCUGGACUUCAGCUCGAGCACUCUCUCCUCGCCCGACGGAACCCCCCUGCCUCAGGAUACGUGGGAGAGGAGCUGACCAUGGCUUACGGGGGGCGGGGGUCAUCACCGUCCUGGACCUUCCCCUCCCAGGACGGCGCCAGCAGGACCACAGACCACCAGCAGCGCGGCCACGUCCUGAAUAACGCAGCGCCAGCAAGAGGGCAGCGUGCCCACCGCCAGGAGGAGGGCUGCUGGCCUGACCUAGAAACUUCUGAGCCAGGCUGAGCCAGGCCAGGCCAGGCCAAGGCUGUCCCCCUCACCCGGCGGUCACCUCCCUACCGUCCAGCCCUGUGUUGAGGCAGCACAGGCAGCACCCCCUGGACCGGGGGUGGAGCGAGGCUGUCACCUCCUCGCCACGAGCGGGGCGACGCCUGAGGCGGGUCGCCCACCUGGGCUCCAGCUCCUCGGCCUCAGAUGAGCGGGCCUUGCUGGAGAGACCUAAGCUCCUCCUCGCGGUCCGAGUGGGGUAAGGAGAGCCCUUCCCACAUUUAGGCCCACCCGGAACCUCAGAGUGGGAGCGUCUCUGGAAAGGCGGUCUUUCCGACGUAAGGAGCUCAGAUGAGCUCAUCCCGGAUUAGGGAGGCCGAACAUCGAAGCCGCCUGGUGUUCCGAAGAUGACGGUCACGUGACACCCGCAGAGACAGGAGUGACGUGGGCCCGAAGCACUACAGAUGGCUUGGAGCCCCCAGAAGCUGGGAGAGGCAGGAAGGCCCCGCCCCUGGAGCCUCUGGAGGGAACAGGGCCCUGCCUACGCCCUGAUUUUGAACUUCUGGCCUCCAGAACAGAGACAGAACUAACUUCUGUGAUUUGAAGACAGCUGGUUUGGGGUAGUGUGCAACAGCAGCCCUAGGAAACGCAAAGGGUCUGAAACCUCGAAUCAAGUUUACCGGGACUAUGCUGAGGGCAGGACCUGCCCCGGGGCCUUUGCACCUGCCGCCUCGUCUCAAAGGAGCCCUCCACAAGCACAGGGCCUGCCUGCUUCCUCCCUUCAGGCCUCUGCUCAAAGUCACAGCCACGCAGGCCUGUCUGCCCGCCCCACGGACAUUCGCCCUGGCCUCUCUUCUCCGCCCUGGCCAUAUACACCACCUAAUGUCGUGUGUCUGCUGUCCCUCCCCUGUCUUCCAACACACAUGCAGAACCCAAGCCCCCCGCCCCCCGCACAGGGGUCUACCUGGGUCCUGGCUGGGCUCCCAGCUCCAGGCACAGAGCCUGGCACAUGGCAGGUGCUCCGCAAAUACGUGUAGAAUGCACCUGUACGAUCUGGGCCCAGCGCCGGGGCGGGCAACCUUUGGAAGGGCUAGGAAAGGCGCUGAGAGGUCCUAUGUCACCAGUGCCCUGGGACAGACUCCUCCGAGAAGAUGCCCCGGUGAGUGGGAGGCAGCCUGGCGUGGCAGUUACGGGCUUGCGAUCCGGAAACUAGCUGGGCUCAAACUGCCGAUCUGCCACGUCUAAGCUGUGCAGCCUCAGGCACGUUCCAGAACCUCUCUGGGCCUGAGGGACAGAAAAGUACCUGCCUUGUGCAUUUGCUGUGUCUAUCAAAUGAACUAAAGGGGAUGGGGCCUGAGAGCGGGGGUGGCGUUUCCCAAGCACCGGCUCAGCAGCUACUGUGAGGACUCUUGGGAAAGACCAGGAGGGGACACAGGGGCGGCUCCAUCUGAGGGGCGCCCCCUAGGCUCGUGGGAGGCGGGGCCCCCGGGGGUACCAAGAGACUGCGGCACAGGCCCGUCGGGCCAGCAGCAAACUUGUGAGAGCCAGACUCGGUUUGUCUAUGGAUCGUACAUGAAGAUCCCAGCAUCCCCAGCUGAAAAACGAGCCCAGGGAGCAGGAGCAAAGCGCCCUGGGGCUCUGGCCAAGCCCGUCCGGCACCUGCAGCCUCCAAGGGCUGGGAGUGGCUGUCCGUGGCCAGCUCUCUGGGCCUGGCUGCUUCCCAGGGUGGCACCUGGCAAUCAGAACGAUGCCCCAGCCCCCGAGGCACCCUGAGCAGACCUGAGACCCGAGACCGAGUGGGGACCAGGACGGGGAUAAAAGGCACCACCUGUACACAUGGGCCUCAGGCGCAGCUGCCACCAAGCAGUUGAGACACAGCCGUGGACUGAGCAGGGACAGUCUGGGCUGCAUGCAGCCAGGCCCAACGUGUCCCUCUACCCCUGGCUCUGCCCCUGCUCAGCCUGCACAUGGUUCAAGGGGUCCCACAGGGCCCAGGGCACCGCACUGCCCCAUCCUCAGAGGAGGAGACCCUGCCUGGCCUUUCGCUUCUUCCCUUGCUAGGCCUCCUCCCUCCCGACGGGAUCACGCCUGCCCUGCCCGAUUCCUCCAAGACGCCCGUGCUGGUCCUCCCCGCACCUGUGACCCUGCCUGUGUCCCCCUCAUCCCCAGCCUUUGCUCUCGCCGCUCCCUCUUCCCGGAGCCCCCCCCCACCCCCAGGCCGGCAAUCACUCCCUGGCCGCCUGCAAAUUGCUGUUCAAAGCCACCCUCCUGACAUGCUGUCUCUACAGCUGCAAAGCCUGCUCCAUGAGCAUCCGCCGAUGCUCGGGUUUGCUCUGUCCGUCUUGGAGGGCACAGGCAGCUCUCGGGGUGGCUCUUAUGGGUGCCAGGGGCUCCACAAAUACCAGGUAAGGAGCAAACAGAUCCUGGCUCCCUUCUCCUGGCCCCAGGGGUGCACCCAGGGGACGCCUCAGUCAGCACCUGCUGCCCAUGAGAACAGGCCAGGCCGGGGCUGUCCGGAGGCUCAGUGGCAGAGGGGCGGGGAGGCACCAGCAGAGCGGCCAAGGAAGUGCCUCCUGGCACACAGACCCUGCCCCCUGUGAUGCUGGCAGCAUGUGGCACUCACAGGAACGCCCAGCAUGUGGGGCUGGGGGGAGCAGGCGGCUGGAGGGAGGGGGAGAGAAGCCGGGGACGGGGUCCGGGAUGCGGCUCCGCCCCCACGAGAGCGGGCAGGCUCAGGCAGGAGCUAAUGGCUAUACCCCAUCCAGCAGCCUUGGCCGGCAUUAAUUUGACCAUAUAUACACACGCUAAUCAGCUGUAACCGUGGCACCCAGCUCAAUUCAAAUUGAUUUACUGAGCCUGGAAAUGGAUACAAAUGUGAUUAAAGGCUUUUUAUUUUACAUAGGUUCUCUAUAAAAUGAUUUAAAUCAAUUGCCCGGCAGGCCCCACGCUAUUACUGCACAGAGCCUCCUCUUAUAUUGAUGGAUGCCGUGCUCUGAGCUAGAGCUGGGUGUCAGCAACACUCUGCCGCCCAGCCCUGGGGUUGGAGUCGGGCAGCAGCAGCACCUGCCAGUUGUGGGUCUGCCUCUGCUCAGGGUGCCCCUCUGCGGCCAGCCAGAUGGGCUGGCACCAUCAAGAGGGCAGCAAACACUGAGAGGCGAGGUGGCCAGGCCCGGGAGAAGGCUGGCAUUGCCAUGGCAACAGCCUUAAGCAUCAUCUCCUAGCUCACUUGCCUCUCACCU
ensembl:lncRNA